rnacentral:rRNA from 1 species
ACNNAUGCAGUNNANGNUAGCAGGAAGNAAGCUUGCUUUCUUUGCUGACGAGUGGCGGACGGGUGAGUAAUGCUUGGGAAUCUGGCUUAUGGAGGGGGAUAACUGCGGGAAACUGCAGCUAAUACCGCGUAAAGUCUUUGGACUAAAGGGGGCGUUUGCUCUUGCCAUAAGAUGAGCCCAAGUGGGAUUAGGUAGUUGGUGGGGUAAUGGCUCACCAAGCCGUCGAUCUCUAGCUGGUCUGAGAGGAUGACCAGCCACACCGGGACUGAGACACGGCCCGGACUCCUACGGGAGGCAGCAGUGGGGAAUAUUGCGCAAUGGGGGGAACCCUGACGCAGCCAUGCCGCGUGAAUGAAGAAGGCCUUCGGGUUGUAAAGUUCUUUCGGUGAUGAGGAAGGCAGUUUGGUUAAUAGCCAAGCUGAUUGACGUUAGUCACAGAAGAAGCACCGGCUAACUCCGUGCCAGCAGCCGCGGUAAUACGGAGGGUGCGAGCGUUAAUCGGAAUAACUGGGCGUAAAGGGCACGCAGGCGGAUUUUUAAGUGAGGUGUGAAAGCCCCGGGCUUAACCUGGGAAUUGCAUUUCAGACUGGGAAUCUAGAGUACUUUAGGGAGGGGUAGAAUUCCACGUGUAGCGGUGAAAUGCGUAGAGAUGUGGAGGAAUACCGAAGGCGAAGGCAGCCCCUUGGGAAUGUACUGACGCUCAUGUGCGAAAGCGUGGGGAGCAAACAGGAUUAGAUACCCUGGUAGUCCACGCUGUAAACGCUGUCGAUUUGGGGGUUGGGGUUUAACUCUGGCGCCCGUAGCUAACGUGAUAAAUCGACCGUCUGGGGAGUACGGCCGCAAGGUUAAAACUCAAAUGAAUUGACGGGGGCCCGCACAAGCGGUGGAGCAUGUGGUUUAAUUCGAUGCAACGCGAAGAACCUUACCUACUCUUGACAUCCAGAGAAUCCUGUAGAGAUACGGGAGUGCCUUAGGGAGCUUUGAGACAGGUGCUGCAUGGCUGUCGUCAGCUCGUGUUGUGAAAUGUUGGGUUAAGUCCCG